UCAAGUCUAAGGACCAGAUACACCACUAGGACUACGAAAUCGUUGUCUGACAAUAAGGCAUCAUCAACCAUCCAGCAUUCCGUAAGCGGAUCAAUCAGUGAACUCAUUCUCCAAUGAGCACCUAUACUGUAUCAUUAGUGUCCCUACACAAGCAGCUAUGAGACCAGCUGCAUCCAUCAUAUGGACGGGUAUACAGCACACUAGUCUGUCCGGUUAUCACGAUGUCCCUCUUGAGUAACCUAUGACCGGGAUUAUUUAGGAUAUGUGUUUAAAGGUGAAUCAAUCUCAUUAUCGUGAUCUCAUCAUGAUCUGAUUCCCAUUGCACAAAUCCAAGGACAUCACAAUAUAUAUAUGCAUUUAUGCAAUAAUUAUAAAGUGAUAUACGCCAAAAUAUAAUAAGCAAAAAGAUUCUGUUUCAAGUCACACGUGCCAUCACUCACGUGAUUGGCUUGCUGGGCACUUAUGACUAGCAAUCUCCCACUUGACCUAAAGCCAAUCACCUAUGUGUCUGAUCCCCAUCAGACCCCUGUGACGCUCAAAGACAAUCUGAGACAACGGCUUUGUCAGUGGAUCUGCAAUGUUAUCUUCGGAUGGAACUAUUUCCAUU
rnacentral:lncRNA from 1 species